rnacentral:rRNA from 1 species
UGGGGAAUUUUGCACAAUGGGGGAAACCCUGAUGCAGCGACGCCGCGUGAUUUAGAAGGCCUUCGGGUUGUAAAAAUCUUUUGUAUGGGAAGAAAAUGACAGUACCAUACGAAUAAGGACCGGCUAAUUACGUGCCAGCAGCCGCGGUAAUACGUAAGGUCCGAGCGUUGUCCGGAAUCAUUGGGCGUAAAGGGUACGUAGGCGGAUAAGCAAGUUAGAAGUGAAAUCCUAUAGCUCAACUAUAGUAAGCUUUUAAAACUGCUCAUCUUGAGGUAUGGAAGGGAAAGUGGAAUUCCUUGUGUAGCGGUGAAAUGCGCAGAUAUUAGGAGGAAUACCGGUGGCGAAGGCGACUUUCUGGCCAUAAACUGACGCUGAGGUACGAAAGCGUGGGUAGCAAACAGG